rnacentral:rRNA from 1 species
AUUGAACGCUGGCGGCAGGCCUAACACAUGCAAGUCGAACGAGUGGCGGACGGGUGAGUAAUGUCUGGGAAACUGCCUGAUGGCGGGGGAUAACUACUGGAAACGGUAGCUAAUACCGCAUACCAUCGGAUGUGCCCAGAUGGGAUUAGCUAGUAGGUGGGGUAAAGGCUCACCUAGGCGACGAUCCCUAGCUGGUAUGAGAGGAUGACCAGCAACACUGGAACUGAGACACGGUCCAGACGCCUAGGGGAGGGAGCAGUGGGAAAUAUUGCACAAUGGGCGCAAGCCGGAUGCAGCCAUGGCGGGUGUAUGGAGAAGGCCUUCGGGUUGGAAAGUACUUUCAGCGGGGAGGCGUUACCCGCAGAAGAGGCACCGGCUAACGCCGUGCCAGCAGCCGCGGUAAUUC